UCUUCACGAGCUGAACCUUCUUGUGGCUACUCCUCCACUGAGAGCUUUGUCCUGGGAUUCUCGACUAGAUUCUUGUCUUGUCUGGCAGUUCUCCCCUGGACUGAAGGACUGAAUAAACCUACAAAUGAACAAGUCAGAUUCUCUCUGUGGGCCAUCAGACACACGCAGCCAAAUAUUUCACAAAAGUCUUCACGGGGCCUCGAGAUGGGAAAGGACAGAUACCU